rnacentral:rRNA from 1 species
UACAAGGUUUGGUCCUGGCCUUAGUGUUAAUUGUAACUAGAAUUAUACAUGCAAGUUUCAGCCCUCCUGUGAGAAUGCCCUAAUUAAUCUAUUAAAUAAUUAGGAGCAGGUAUCAGGCACACGCACGUAGCCCAAGACACCUUGCUAAGCCACACCCCCAAGGGAUUUCAGCAGUAAUAAACAUUAAUUCAUGAGCGAAAGCUUGAAUUAGUUAAAGUCGACAGAGUUGGUUAAUCUCGUGCCAGCCACCGCGGUUAUACGAGUAACUCAUAUUAACACACCCCGGCGUAAAGAGUGGUUUAAGAAUGACCUUUAAAUAACUAAAGUUUAGACCUCAUAAAGCUGUUAUACGCACCCAUGAGUGGAAUAAUCAACAACGAAAGUGACUUUACAUAUUAAGGAGCCUUGAUGCCACGAUAGUUGAGACCCAAACUAGGAUUAGAUACCCUACUAUG